rnacentral:rRNA from 1 species
UUCCAGACUCCUACGGGAGGCAGCAGUGGGGAAUAUUGCACAAUGGGGGAAACCCUGAUGCAGCGACGCCGCGUGAGCGAUGAAGUAUUUCGGUAUGUAAAGCUCUAUCAGCAGGGAAGAAGAUGACGGUACCUGACUAAGAAGCCCCGGCUAACUACGUGCCAGCAGCCGCGGUAAUACGUAGGGGGCAAGCGUUAUCCGGAUUUACUGGGUGUAAAGGGAGCGUAGACGGCGAUGCAAGCCAGAUGUGAAAGCCCGGGGCUCAACCCCGGGACUGCUCUUGGAACUGCGUGGCUGGAGUGCAGGAGGGGCAGGCGGAAUUCCUGGUGUAGCGGUGAAAUGCGUAGAUAUCAGGAGGAACACCGGCGGCGAAGGCGGCCUGCUGGACCGUGACUGACGUUGAGGCUCGAGAGCGUGGGGAGCAAACAGGAUUAGAUACCCUCGUA